rnacentral:miRNA from 1 species
GUAGAGCAUCUCGGCCGACCGC